rnacentral:rRNA from 1 species
UACGGGGGGGGCAAGCGUUGUUCGGAAUUACUGGGCGUAAAGGGCUCGUAGGCGGCCAACUAAGUCGGACGUGAAAUCCCUCGGCUUAACCGGGGAACUGCGUCCGAUACUGGAUGGCUUGAGUGUGGGAGAGGGAUGCGGAAUUCCAGGUGUAGCGGUGAAAUGCGCAGAUAUCAGGAAGAACACCAAUGGCGAAAGCAGCUUUCUGGGACGGUACUGACGCUGAGACGCGAAAGCGUGGGGAGCGAACAGG